ACGAAAGUUCAUCACGAGUUUAUCGUUGUUAACGGAACGAAAAUGAGAUAAAGAGUUUAUUUAUUAAUCCAAUCUGCUCUCUUGACUCGUCUAUAAAGUUCAUCACAAAACAACUAAUAUCAGUUUAAUUGCAAUUCUGAGGCCAUAAACCUAAAAUGCUUCGCUUGCGCCUUUUGUUUUCAGUACUGAUCAUCUUGCCAGCAGUAUAUCUAAACAAUUCUUCAACGGAGUGUAACUGUUGGAAUGGUUACGUUGUAACAAAUGCGACCAUCAUUGCCGCAAAUGGUGAGGAAUGUUUGGGAGCUACCUGGGUGACAUUUAACCGGAGACAUUUAUGUAAUGAGCCUCAAAAACCCGCAUGCACUUGCACGAAUGCUACUGGUAUUUUAAUUGAUAAUGAAGGAACAUGGUGUAGUCAUUAUCAGAAUGGUGUUCAAAUUAAAAAGUGGACAUGCCAGAAUCGUGAAGAAUGGGAUACCUAUAACGAAAAAUACAAGAAAUUCACCAGCAAGACACAGUAAUGAAGGCUUUUUUUUUAUAAAAAUGUAAUAAUUGUAAAAUAAAAUUUUGACAAUGAUUUUUUAAA